CGUCGCUUCCCGGCUCCCAGGACAGCAGCACGCUGCGGGCCUUCACGUCCUCCUGCUGUACCACCGGCUUACUGGGGGGCUGUGGGCGGUCUGGGAGUCGGCAGAGGAGGGUAGGAGCAGGUCCCAACAGCCGGCACCCUGGCUCCUGGCCCAUGACCUGUCCCUCAGGCCGCGAGAGGCCUGGGUGCCUGGGAAUUCACAUCCCCUGAGGGCAGCCUG